UGGCUCAGACGGUAAAGCAUCUGCCUGCAAUGCAGGAGACCUGGGUUCGAUCCCUG
rnacentral:tRNA from 1 species